GUACACACCGCCCGUCGCUCCUACCGAUUGAGUGAUCCAAUGAAUGAUUCGGACCGCGUUGGCCAGCAAUGGUACAGAUGCAGGAAGUUUCGUAAACCUUAUCACUUAGAGGAAGGAUAAGUCGUAACAAGGUUUCUGUAGGUGAACCUGCAGAAGGAUCA
rnacentral:rRNA from 1 species